ACGGAGGGUGCGAGCGUUAUCCGGAUUUAUUGGGUUUAAAGGGUGCGUAGGCGGUUUGUUAAGUCAGCGGUGAAAGUUUUCAGCUUAACUGGAAAAAUGCCGUUGAUACUGAGAGGCUGGAAUAUGGUUGCUGUGGGUGGAAUGUGUGGUGUAGCGGUGAAAUGCUUAGAUAUCACACAGAAUAUCGAUUGCGAAGGCAGCUCACAAAGCCAUUAUUGACGCUGAUGCACGAAAGUGUGGGGAUCAAACAG
rnacentral:rRNA from 1 species